rnacentral:lncRNA from 1 species
CAGGUGGGCAGACACUGAAAUUUUUCAGGAGACUGAGCGUGUGGGCAAGUCACUUGCAAGAAGUUCAAACGUCAUGUAUACUACUGAUAUUGACAACUGUAACUGCAGGACACAGGAGAAGCAAUCCUAGCUGGGGUAGAGCUGGCAUUUUCAAGAGUUGUAAGCUGUCCAGCAAUGAAGAAUUCUGUGUGAAAAACUAGAGGAGGUACUGGUACAAGAGAACAUGAGGAAGGCAGAAAAGGAAAAUAUGUAUAUUUGAGCACUGUUUGCAGAGUUCAAGUCAUUGUUUGGAGGAAAGAAAAGCACUCCUGCCAAUUCCUUCUUGUUGCCAUUUCAUCUGAAAUAAGGAAGAGGUGAUGUCCUACAAUGAGCUGCUCAACAAUUGAUGGUGACCUCUAGCUGGCCAAGGCCUUCAGAAUUUGAUAAUCAUAUAUGGAGUGAGUUUAUUUUAUUGUGAAGGAAAUGGAUAAGUACCAUUCCAAUGGGACAUACAAGCAGUCAAGGAGCAAAGGCCAAGCGGCGGAGACAGGAGGAGGGCAGGCAGCACAGCUGCACUGGAGCGUACAUCCCUGUGUCUACAUGAUACUUACAGGUUGGGCAAAAAAUUACCAGAGUCAGGUCUGCAGAAUUAUACUCUGUUGAAAGGUCAUGGGCAGGCAGAAUUAAGGGAACACUGCGUGUAAAGGAUACUUCUGGAAGCCUAGCCUGCUGACCUUGGGCUGAACUGGAACUGCUG